CAGGAUGUCUUGUAAAAUAUCAUUAUCUAUAGGUAGAGGAAUGAGGGUCAACUUUAAGGAAUGAUCAUGAUAAAAUUUCAAGCAUAGCACAUGAGAUACCACAUGUAGCAGUGGAAACUCAAGCUCCACCCACUUCUCUGCAGUCAAAGGGAAAGUAGUAGCAUUAUCAUCAUUAUUGGUUCAAACUAGAGGCCUAAACUUGGGACAACCAAUUCCAAUAAACUCAGAUAAACGACCAAUGAUAAGAACAAAAGGUCAUGGUUAAGUAACAAUUAAAUAAACUUGUGUGAAAAAUAUCUUAUUUAUUAAGAGAAUUUUACUAUGUAAUUCAUAAUAUAACUUUUUAGAUGUAACUGUAUCUCGCUCAAUC
rnacentral:lncRNA from 1 species